AUGGCGCUGCCGGUAGUUCAUCCGAGCCAGGAAGAACCCACCCUACCGCCGCCGGCCGGGAAGCAACUCAGCAACCAGCUCGCUGCCGCUGUGAGGAGCAUCAACUGGAGCUACGCAAUAUUCUGGUCCAUUUCAACCAGCCGUCCAGGGGUUCUGACGUGGAAGGACGGGUUCUACAACGGCGAGAUAAAGACGAGGAAGGUCACAAGCUCGGCGGACCUCACCGCCGACCAGCUCGUCCUGCAGAGGAGCGAGCAGCUGCGGGAGCUCUACGAGUCUCUUCUGUCCGGCCAGUGUGACCACCGGGCGAGGCGUCCCGCGGCCGCGCUGUCGCCGGAGGACCUCGGCGACGCCGAAUGGUACUACACGGUCUGCAUGAGCUACGCCUUCCGCCUUGGCCAAGGGUUGCCAGGCAGAAGCUUUGCGAGCAACGAGCAUGUUUGGCUGUGCAAUGCUCAGUGCGCAGACACCAAAACCUUCCAGCGCGCGCUCUUAGCAAAGACGGCGUCUAUCCAGACAGUCGCCUGCAUUCCAUUGAUGAGUGGUGUGCUUGAGCUCGGGACAACAAAUACCGUUUUGGAGGACAUGGACAUGGUGAACCGGAUCGGCACAUCUUUCUGGGACUUGAAGUUCCCAACAUGCUCGAAGUCGGAGGAGCCGAACUCCAGCCCAUCAGCAGACGAUACUGGGGACGCUGACAUGGUGUUCGAAGACCUCAACCAUAACACCAUGGCCACGAUGAUGCCCGGGGAACUCGAGCUAGGGGAGGUCGAGUGCCUAUCCGACGGUAGCCUCGAGCAGAUCACGAAGGAGAUCAACGGGUUCUACGGCCUCUGCGAUGAGCUGGACGUGGGGGCUCUUGAGGAAAAUUGGAUCAUGGGUGGGUCUUUCGAGGUCAUGUCUUCGCCGGAAGCGCUGCCGGCGCCUGCCGCCACCGACGGGAUCACUGAUGGUGCUGUCACUUUUAGCUCUGUUGAACCCUCUCGCUCAUCAUGCUUUACGGCAUGGAAGAGAUCGUUGGACUCAACAAAAGACGUGGCUGCGUCCGUCGCCGGGGAGUCGCAGAAGUUGCUGAAGAAAGUUUUGGCUGGUGGCGCAUGGGCAAAUAAUGGUGGCGACGGUACUGCGAGAGCUCAGGAAAGCACCAACACAAAAAACCAUGUCAUUUCGGAGAGGAGGCGGCGAGAGAAGCUCAACGAGAUGUUUCUGAUUCUCAAGUCAUUGGUCCCGUCCAUUCACAAGGUGGACAAGGCAUCCAUCCUAGCUGAAACGAUAGCCUACCUCAGAGAGCUGGAGCAGAAGGUGGAGGAGCUAGAAUCCAACAGGGUGGCCGGAACAGCCGUCCGAAAACUCCAUGACGUCAGUGGGAAGAAGGUGUUAGCUGGUUCCAAGAGAAAGGCGUCGGAGCUCGGCGGGGACGACACGGAGAGGGUGCUCCCCAAGGACGACGGCCCGAGCAACAUCGUCAACGUCACCGUGACGGACAAAGAGGUGCUCCUGGAGGUGCAAUGCCGGUGGAAGGAGCUGCUGAUGACGCAAGUGUUCGACGCCAUCAAGAGCCUCCGCCUGGACGUGCUCUCCGUGCGCGCGUCGACGCCCGACGGCCUCCUCGCUCUCAAGAUACGAGCUCAGUUUGCCGGUCCUGGAGCCGUGGAACCCGGGAUGAUCAGCGAAGCGCUUCAGAAAGCUAUACGCAGGCGCUGA
rnacentral:rRNA from 1 species